rnacentral:rRNA from 1 species
UACGUAGGGUGCAAGCGUUAAUCGGAAUUACUGGGCGUAAAGCGUGCGCAGGCGGUUGUGCAAGACAGAUGUGAAAUCCCCGGGCUCAACCUGGGAAUUGCAUUUGUGACUGCACGGCUAGAGUGUGUCAGAGGGGGGUAGAAUUCCACGUGUAGCAGUGAAAUGCGUAGAGAUGCGGAGGAACACCGAUGGCGAAGGCAGCCCCCCUGGGCCAACACUGACGCUCAGGCACGAAAGCGUGGGGAGCAAACAGG